rnacentral:lncRNA from 13 species
GGUAGCGUUAUCGCGAUGGCGCGAACGCGGCAUCGUCGCGUCGGUCUUGUCGCGUGAAGUUGACCGCGCGUGCAUACAUGACGCCGCGCCGCUUCUCGCCACCUUCAGUUGCAUUCCCGUUUCUUUUACAAAACGCAAUGGACGCGGGAUGGACGGGCUCCGGAACGGAGGCGUGAUCGCGGCUCGUUUAACAGAAUGCGGCGGGUGCAAGAUGGAUCGGAGCUGGAGCGAGCGGCGUCGCGACUCUCGUUUAACAAGUGAAAUCAAUCUCAAUCUCGAUCGCGUCAAUACUAUCAGUUUAACCGUCGCGUAAUACAAUGAUUCUGUACUCAUAUCAGUGAUUCAUACAAACGCGUAUUUCGUGAUAAUUACUUGGUCGAAAGUAUAUUGCGCUACCUGUUGACAACGACGAUAUAUAUAUUAUUGGAUUAACGAGACGUACGCAAAAAGGAUCAAUUUUAGAACGAAUGGCCUUAGGAUUUAUUUAAUUAAUCGUGUAGUAGAUACUACAAUUUUAUUAUUGCACAUCUUUGGAAUAUAAUCUAAAGAGAAGAUCUGACAACUCGGAAACAAAUUAGUCUUAAGGGAGGUAUUUGGUGGAAAAACUUUGCGAUUCAUCGUAGCAACGAUAAUUCUACUGUUGCACAUCGAACAAGCAAACUUAUGUAUAAAGCUAACGUAUACUCCUUGAUGAUUUAAAUAAACGAACUGCAACCGGUUCGUCGCGACACGCGUUUGUUUCGGGAGUGCCGUUUAAAGUAAUAAGACUUAAUUAGUCCACGGGCGCAAUUUUAGAGUAUUUAACGCGAGUGUUACGCGAGUUUAACGGGACGAGGAGACUUGACAACUCGGAUCUGAAAGGAGGAGGUCUGGGAGAGGCAUCGAGCCUCAGCGGAGCGAUUUUGAGUAUCAUCGCAGUUACGUUGCUGAAUAACUCCGCUCGUUGCAUGAGAUCUGUGAGUAUAUAAGGAUUGUGUUCCAAAUUUAUUGCUAGCACUAAAAAUUUAUACGUAACGUAAAUUAUUUUUAAUAGUACAUAUUGAAACGCAGCCCAGAUUGCAAAAUUUACUAAUAAUACAACAUAAGAAUUGCUUCAAAAUUAUAAAUUUAAAAAGAAUUUUGUCAAUUAUUAUAUAAUGUGAA